UACGAAGGGGGCUAGCGUUGCUCGGAAUCACUGGGCGUAAAGGGUGCGUAGGCGGGUCUUUCAGUCAGGGGUGAAAUCCUGGAGCUCAACUCCAGAACUGCCUUUGAUACUGAAGAUCUUGAGUGCGGGAGAGGUGAGUGGAACUGCGAGUGUAGAGGUGAAAUUCGUAGAUAUUCGCAAGAACACCAGUGGCGAAGGCGGCUCACUGGCCCGAUACUGACGCUGAGGCACGAAAGCGUGGGGAGCAAACAGG
rnacentral:rRNA from 1 species